GGUGAAGUAGCUCAGUUGGUUAGAGCACUACACUUUUAAUGUAGUUUGAAAAUAGACUCAAAAUCUAUUUUAUCACCG
rnacentral:tRNA from 1 species